UACGAGGGGUGCAAGCGUUAUUCGGAAUUACUGGGCGUAAAGGGUGUGUAGACGGCUUGUUAAGUCUUUUGUUAAAUUCCUCGGCCUAACCGGGGGUGAGCGAAGGAAACUGAUAGGCUAGAGGAUGAAAGAGAGAGGUGGAAUUCUCGGAGUAGCGGUUAAAUGCGUAGAUCUCGAGAGGAACAUCGAUGGCGAAGGCAGCCUCUUGGUUCAUUCCUGACGUUGAAACACGAAAGCGUGGGGAGCGAACAGG
rnacentral:rRNA from 1 species